UACGUAGGGUGCAAGCGUUGUCCGGAAUUAUUGGGCGUAAAGAGCUCGUAGGCGGUCUGUUGCGUCGGCUGUGAAAACCCGGGGCUCAACUCCGGGCCUGCAGCCGAUACGGGCAGACUAGAGUUCGGUAGGGGAGACUGGAAUUCCUGGUGUAGCGGUGAAAUGCGCAGAUAUCUGGAGGAACACCGGUGGCGAAGGCGGCAUCCUGGACCGACACUGACGCUGAGGAGCGAAAGCCAGGGGAGCAAACGGG
rnacentral:rRNA from 1 species